rnacentral:rRNA from 1 species
UCGAGGAUCUUCGGCAAUGGGCGCAAGCCCGACCGAGCGACGCCGCGUGGGCGACGAAGGCCUUCGGGUUGUAAAGCCCUGUCGAGGGGGAGAAAGGCCGGGUCAAACCGGCUCGAUCUAUCCCUGGAGGAAGCACGGGCUAAGUUCGUGCCAGCAGCCGCGGUAAGACGAACCGUGCGAACGUUGUUCGGAAUCACUGGGCUUAAAGGGCGCGUAGGCGGACUGCCGCGUCCGGGGUGAAAUCCUCCGGCUCAACCGGAGAAGUGCCUCGGGUACGGGCGGUCUCGAGGGGGGUAGGGGCGUGCGGAACUGUGGGUGGAGCGGUGAAAUGCGUUGAUAUCCACAGGAACUCCGGUGGCGAAGGCGGCACGCUGGACCCCAUCUGACGCUGAGGCGCGAAAGCCAGGGGAGCGAACGG